rnacentral:rRNA from 1 species
GAUGAACGCUGGCGGCGUGCUUAACACAUGCAAGUCGAACGAAGCAACUUGUUACGAUCCCUUCGGGGUGACGACUUGUUGACUGAGUGGCGGACGGGUGAGUAACGCGUGGGCAACCUGCCCCGUACCGGGGGAUAGCAGUUGGAAACGACUGAUAAUACCGCAUAAGCGCACGGUCUGGCAUCAGACAGUGUGAAAAACUCCGGUGGUACGGGAUGGGCCCGCGUCUGAUUAGCCAGUUGGCGGGGUAACGGCCCACCAAAGCGACGAUCAGUAGCCGGGCUGAGAGGCCGGACGGCCACAUUGGGACUGAGACACGGCCCAGACUCC